GACGUACUGGUUAGAUCGGGAUACUCAUCAAAUAAUCAGAAAACAGAGCUAAUCCCCUUGUCAAUGGCGGGCCACACCCAGCAAUGGGCAGCAUGAAAGCCAGUGGAUUACAACGACGGAGGACGCUCAUACCUUAUCAAUCAAAGGAGUUUUCAUCACAAUCACAGUACGUCCC
rnacentral:sRNA from 1 species